rnacentral:misc_RNA from 1 species
GGCGAGACGUCCCUCCGUUUCUUUAAUUUUUUUUUUAGUGCAAAAUAAAAGAUUUGCUAGAUCUCUAUUCUGAUAUCUCUGAGCAUCGAUGGGUUUUUGGGAAGCUUUUCUCAAUUGGCUUCGCAGCCUCUUUUUCAAGCAGGAGAUGGAGCUGUCUUUGAUUGGACUUCAGAAUGCUGGAAAGACUUCUCUUGUAAAUGUUGUUGCAACUGGUGGAUAUAGUGAAGAUAUGAUUCCUACGGUAGGAUUCAACAUGAAAAAAGUAACAAAGGGGAAUGUCACAAUAAAGUUAUGGGAUCUUGGGGGUCAACCUAGAUUCCGCAGUAUGUGGGAGCGGUAUUGUCGUGCAGUUUCUGCCAUUGUUUAUGUGGUUGAUGCUGCUGAUCCUGAUAAUCUGAGCAUCUCAAAAAGCGAACUUCAUGAUUUGUUAAGCAAACCAUCAUUGAUUGGGAUCCCAUUGUUGGUGCUAGGGAACAAGAUUGACAAACCAGGAGCUCUGUCAAAGCAGGCUUUGAC